GCUGCCUUUAAAGCUUUCCAGGUCACGAUACCCUGUCACGCUGUUGCUAUGUCUCCUGCAGAGCCCCUCUCCUUUCACGCUUCUCCUUUCCCUAGGUAAAUAUACCUUGACAGCACUACUGUACAAGCAGGGGAGAGAAGCGCUUACAACUUCAUGAACAUCUGCUAGUUCAUAGCAAGAUAAUUUUAAGGAAGAUAGCAAUCAGCUAUAAAGCUGAUCUCUGUAGUCACAUAUUAAUGGCAUACUGAGACAAACUGGUAUCAAAGAGAAUGUCAUGCACUGGGGAGUCUGGAACUGUAAUAUAACACAUGGACCUGCCAACUGAAGAAUCUCUGAAUGCCAUGGAUUUUAAAUAGCAGGUAAUACUGUGCCUCCAACUGUCAUUAUAUCCAAGAAUCAAAUUAUUUGAAUUCUGGACACAUCAGCACAAAACUGAAGACUCCCUGCCAACUUCGUAGCCUGCUUCGGGAAGAACAUCACAGAGCAUCACUCAUUUAUACGACUGCCAGUCUGAGACUGUAAAUUCAGAAAACAAGAAGGCCUCAGGUGCUGCACUUUAACAUGUCUUUCUGCUCCUGAAUCACCCCCUUUACUACCCCCAUCAUAUAAAAGGUAACAUUUCAUCUCUGAAAGGCAAGGCUUUCAAGCAUCUGCCAGGAUGAGCAUAGACCCUGUAUGGCCUCCAUGUGAAUUGAAAAUGAGACUAUUAAGUAUAUUAAUUGAUAACGGUGACUUGUGACUUGGAAGGAGAUUCGUAACACUUAGAAAAAUAAUCUAUAAAGAUUUUUGUUGCUCUAAGAAGACAGUGCAGCAUCAGCUUAUUUCACUUGCAGCAGGUUCAUUUCUUUUAUAGAGCACACUGCACUGCAGGCAAUGGAAAUUUUAAUGGACACCGGAACAAACUGUCUAUCCCUUUGCCCCAUGACAAAAAAGAAACCAUGAAAAGAUACAGAACAGAGAGAUUGAGAUAUGAUAUUAGAAAACAUUUAAGGAAUUGUAAUUAAAUUAAGAUUCAGAAAUCUGUCAACGAGAUGAAGGUUAAACUGAAAGAAAGCUGAACCUUGUCUGAAGCAGCCUAUUGCCUCCUGCUGUGGGUUGCUUUGUACCAGUCUAAUUAGAGGGCAUAUCUCUGAAAGGCUCAUAAUAAACCAGCAGAUCUCUGACAGUUAAUUAAUAAACAUGUUUUGCAGAAGUAUACCAUGUUCCAUUCAACACUCUUCAAGUACCUUGCAGGCAUUAAUGGCCUUAAUCCAUCACUCUUUCCCUUUUUAAGCUACAAGUCCCACUCCAUAGGUGGGAAAACUGAGGCACAAGAUUAACAUAACUUGCCUAAAAAUCACAUAGUAACUCAGCCAAACUUAUACAAGAACAGAACUCAGAUAUCGUGCCUUGUGUGUAACCGUUCAGCCAUGGGCUGUUUUGCCUCUGCUGGUGAAAUAGGCAUCAGUAUUGCACAUCAUCACUUACCCAGCAGUGUGGAUACAAAUCUCCUACAUUCUCAAAUACUGUUUGAACAUUCAAAUAAUAUUUUAUAUGGUGGCUUUCUGUGAGUUAUAUAUGAAAGUGAUUGAUGCACUGAUGAAGUAUUCUCCUCUCUGUACAAGAGACCAGCUGCUACAGUAUGUAAAGUUCAGCCAUGUUUGCAGAAUCAGGAGUUAGCAGCCUGCAAGGACAUUUGGGCAUUGGGUCAUAAAAGUAAGUGAGGAACUGCAAGAUGAAUUUCUGCUAAAAUAAAUGCAUCUGAUGACAACUAUGGUUUAUUUUUCACAUAUGAAGAUUCACCAUUUCACUGUUUGUGGCAAUACUCAAGCAAUGCUGAAGCCCCCUUAAGCCCCCUUAUCUAUGUUCUUUGCCAACAGCUUUGAACAGUAGAAGUAAGGAUCAUUAUUGAAGGAUAAUCAAAGACUUUACUCAGUAGCUAGGAUGAUCAAAAAACUCCAAUUACACUGUUUCUCUGCUGAAAACUUGGUUUUCAUAUAUAUAAACUUUUUGUUAGAAAACACAUCAUGCAUGAAAAAUCUAUUUAAGAUUUUCAGGAAAAAAAGAUUUUUCCUUUUUAAUGGAAACGUUGAAAAUGCUUUUUUGCUAAAUACUUAAUGAUCAUCUCUACUCUUUCUCUGACAUAUUCUGAUUACAUUUGUACACUGGUGUGACUCAGUGAAAGCCUGUAAGCAGGGGUGAAAGAAGUGCAAAAAGUUGUAUUUCUGUGAAGGUGCUGGAACAGGUCAGGGGGAAGGGAAUGCUGUAACAUUGGUAACUGGAGUCAGCAAAAAGUAGCUGUUGCUCUACAGUGUUGAUAGAAGAAUAACCUUUUUAACACAUGACCCAAAUUAAUUUGGAUUUUGUAGUCCAGCAGCCCUGUGCUAGCUACUCUUCACAUGACUGCUGGGAUGUUUUCUCUCCAGGGCUGUAUCUUCUUGGUUUGUUUGGUAAGAGCUUGUGAGUAAGAAGGCUAUGAAAGAAGCCUGAAAAUCAAGACAGACCUUUGUUUUCUUGUUUGGUUAAUCAUUGCAGCCCUCUGUCUAAAGGACAAAAAUGUAAAAGCAUUUCUCCUGUGUGAAAGCUACCACAAAUGGGUGCCAGGCUACUAGUGGUGAAAAGGCCUGGAUUAGCCAAACGACACUGGAGGCACAAGUGUAGCAUGUCAGCAAAUGAGCAUCUGAGAUACAGGAGACAAGGCAAAAGCACCUACAUAUAACAGGAGGUGUGAGCGCCGAGGAAGCUGUAGCGCAGCUCCCCUGGAAUUCCUGGAGCUGGACCAGGAGCGAAUUUGACCCAACAUGCGUGAGAAGCAUGUUGUUCAGCUGAUAAGGAAACUGAGAACGUGCAUCAGCAAACACAGUUUGUUUAUCCCGUAAUAACUGUUUUUGAGUAGAACAGCAAAAAAGAGACUGGGGCUGCACUAGACAGAUAAGAGUUUUUACCAAAAGGACGACCAAAGGUCAUAUGAGGCCUCCUGGAAACUUCAAAAGAGAAGCUUUCAGUGGGAAUGGAUGACUAAGGGAAUUGCAAAGGGUCUCUGGAGUCUUUUAUCUUUGUGCUACCUCUUCAAAUCUAGCUCAACACCUCAAUAAUUUAUUGUUGUCAACAUCUGAUGAAUGUUCACUGGGCUCAGCCUUGUUCCUAGUGCACAGGUGUUAAGGUGUUUACAGCACAAAAAUCCCCACCACUGCAACCAGGGCUAACUGGCUGCCUUGUUAACCAUCUCAGCUAAUAAUCCAAAGAAAGAAUGUGUGGAACUGCAAAGUGAGCUGCUAUCUGGUUCAUACAGCUGGUUUCUUUAAGUCAGGAAAGAAUCAAUAACAAUGCAAGUUUCCCUAGGGUGCAUGGACUUUGGGUAAAGAAAGACCUUCAGAACUUUUAGGCAAAUGCAAAGUUCAGUCUAAAGAACCUGGGCCCUAACACUUUCUACAAGAUCAUGAAACAAUAUUCCUCCAGUCCUUACUUUCAGCAGUCUUUCACACAUCCCUUAUACCAUGUCAUCUUGCAUCAUGCAUCACAUAUGGUGAAAAGGUUGUAAGCAUAAUGAAAUUAUAAAUAUUCCCAAGGCUUAAUACUGUCUUUUUGACUCAAUUAAGUUUGAUUAGUUAAUCAAAUUAAGUUUAAUUAUGUUAACAUGGAUUCUUUCAUCUGAAGAAAAAUGCCCAGUCUAUUAAAAUUAUUCUCUAAGUAGUAUUCAUAACUUUGCAAACAUACAUAAAUAUUUUAGACCAUUUCAGAGUUAAGAAUCUGAGAGACAGAAAUUUGCUAGUAAAAAUAGACAAGACUGAUGUCACAGAGCACCUUGACUCAGAGCUGUUUAGCACAAGAUAGGAAAGGAACAGAGGUGACUUUCUGACAGUCUUAGGCCAUCAACGUAUUCAAGAGCAGCUCUAUAGGGCCAUCUGGCAAUUCAAGA